AAUAACGAAAAAAAAAAAAAAAAAAAGUAACAACCGUAGAAUCGCGUUAAACUAUAUGAAACAUACAAUUUUGGCCCUCGCCAACCGCCCUCCCACCGUCCACCGGCUCGUGCUCCGGAAUCGGCCAUAUUAUCCUUCAACGAUUAUGUAAACGCGUCGACGGUCGCACGAAAACCGUAAAGAGUAUUUUAGAUUUCACAUUGUAUUCAAUUUCAGUUUCAGUUUGAUUUUAUUUUCCUUCUUCGUCGAUCUACUAAUUUAGCAUAACGACAUUGCAAUAUUAUUACCCAUACCGUAUACCUGUACGUCAAUGACUAUGUUGUGUGUAAUGUUUUUUUGUUUUUGCUCCUCCGCAGAUCUGAUACUGUAUUUGUUGAAUCUCAUCGUCGAUAAUAUACAUAACCGUUAUUAACAAAACAAUAA